GACGAACGCUGGCGGCGUGCUUUACACAUGCAAGUCGAACGGUGAAGGUGGAGCUUGCUCCGCCGGAUCAGUGGCGAACGGGUGAGUAACACGUGGGCAACCUGCCCCUAACUUUGGGAUAACUACUCGAAAGAGUAGCUAAUACCGGAUAUGAAGUCUGUAGGCACCUAUGGAUUUGGAAAGUUUUUCGGUUAGGGAUGGGCCCGCGGCCUAUCAGCUUGUUGGUGAGGUAGUGGCUCACCAAGGCGACGACGGGUAGCCGGCCUGAGAGGGCGACCGGCCACACUGGGACUGAGACACGGCCCAGACUCCUACGGGAGGCAGCAGUGGGGAAUAUUGCGCAAUGGGCGAAAGCCUGACGCAGCAACGCCGCGUGCGGGAUGAAGGCCUUCGGGUUGUAAACCGCUUUCAGCAGGGAAGAAGCGAAAGUGACGGUACCUGCAGAAGAAGCACCGGCUAACUACGUGCCAGCCGCCGCAGUAACAC
rnacentral:rRNA from 1 species